CUUCACAGUAAUUUCUGGAAUUCCUUAGUCUCACUCCUGAAUUAGAUGCCUAGUUCUCUGGUUUGCUUUGUUGUUUUGGUGGAGUACAUCCUUCAGAACUUCCUGAGAAAAGGUACAUGAAAGAGGUUUGAGAAAACACACACUAAAAAUUGAAAAAGCAUGGAGAAGCGGGUGCUCCUAAGUACGUAGAGUCACUGUGGAGACCAUCUAAGUCAACAUCACACCCUGGCUGUCAAAUGUCACUGAGCCUUUCACCUGUCCACCCAUAACAGAAAUCUUAUGUGACUUUUUGCUGUGUCGCUUGAGGAACGUUCCUUAUGGGUCGCCUGACCCGGUGAAGAGGCUGUCGUGGAAAGUGAGGCCUGGGCUUCACAUUUCCCUGAAUCACCACCAGGCUCUUUUAUCACGAUUCAACAUCACUGAUGCUACCACUCGUCACUUGGUGUGUGACAGCAAUGAAAAACAACUGAUCGUGGAAAUCAGCAUGAUUUCAUAAUGACGUGUAAAGUCCUCUUUUAGUCUUGGGAAGUUCUGCUUCUGCAG